GAGACCGGGUUCAAAAUGAAAACAAGUCGCAUUCAACGGUGAAGAGACGCAAAGUUGACGGUGAAAAUAGAACCUUUAACAACGACUGGACUGAGACCUGGAAAAAGAUGAACGCUGUGAUGAAGAGAGUGAGCUUGAGGAGGAAGGGGAUGACAAAGAAGGAGAGGAAAACAUGAAUCGAGGAUUUUUGUUGGGAGAGAAGUAAAGACAGCCUCAACUCCAAACUGUCGAUGCUGACCAGUAGUUGUGUGGUGAAUAAUUUAACCAACCACAGAGCGUCUGUCGCAGACAGAAUGCGUAAAGCUCAGUAACAUCUUCUUUCAGAUUCUGCUCCAGAUCUUCUCUCCUGAGGUUAAUGUAGUUUAUGUAUUGAGAUGGAUGUGAUCCAUCACCCUGUGAAUUCCUGGUCUUUUAUGCUGUAAGUCACUGUUUUUCACUUCUAAUUGAGGGUUUAAUUUGAUGAGUAAGAUGAUGGGAGUUUCAUGGUCAGAGUCAUAUUUAAAAGUGCUGACUUAGCAGAGGAUGGUUUCGAUCCAUCGACCUCUGGGUUAUGGGCCCAGCACGCUUCCGCUGCGCCACUCUGCUACACACCCCAGAUGGGAUUCGAACCCACAAUCCCUGGCUUAGGAGGCCAGUGCCUUAUCCAUUAGGCCACUGGGGCUGAUGUUGCAGUGAAACUGAGCAGCAGUCAGUUAACCGUGGUAGUGGCAUUUUAUUUUAUGUCUUUCCUUCUACAGAUAAGAACAAUAACAUUUGUUUUUAGUAAAAUCACUGAAUAAUGUAAGUGGUAUUGAUUGCUUGGCCACUCAUGACUGUUAUAACCCACACUGCAGUGUGUUUUACACUGCUCUUGAAAUAUGUGAAAAACAGUAUAUAAUCACAUAGAGGAAUAACUAAGUAAUAACACAUUAAGCGAUAGAAAGUGAGUGUGUGAUUUCUACCACUGCACAGACAGACCCAGUCGUUUAAAUAAAUGAAGUGUUAAACACAGAAGAGAAUGAAAAUAAAGACAUUUUGUUUUGGA